AAGCGAAACAUUUUGACGAAAACAUCCAACACGGCGGCACUCGUGCAGCCAGCAGCCUCGUCGAUGGCGUGUUUUUAAACGUUGAACAUGUACGGGCCGGAAGCCAAACACGUUUGAACGCGCUAUCACUCGUUCGAUAAGAGCCAGGAGGAGGAGGAGGACAAGGAGGCGGAGGCGGAGGCGGGUCGGACUCCCCUUCGCUGCUUCGGUAAGUUGGCGUCGUUCCCCCCGCGAUGGAGGCUGCUGACGGGACCCGCCAGGACCACCGCAGUGUCGGCCACCAGACGUCGACGCCUCGUUGAGCCGCUCAAUUAAGGGCCAAAAAUUGCACACACCUGUCUCCGCUAGUCGACAACCUCGGAAUCAGAGCGAGAAAGAGAGAGAAGUUAACGGGUAAACGUUAACCGCCCCUCCCCGGAGCAUGAUGACCAGCGUAGACGUGACCUAACGAGUCCAACAUUCGUCUUAACCUCUAACCAGGAGUUGUUCUAGAAAGACAUUUUUUUUUUUUUUUUUUUUUUUUUUUUUUUUUUUUAAAUAUAAAAAGCUAGCACAUACCGUCUUCCAUUCGACCACCAUGUCAUUCAAAGAGAACCCCUGUCGGAAAUUCCAAGCCAACAUUUUCAACAAGAGCAAAUGUCAGAAUUGUUUUAAACCUCGAGAAUCUCACCUGCUCAACGACGAAGACCUCAACCAGGCAAAACCUAUUUAUGGAGGAUGGUUGCUCCUUGCACCAGAGGGAACCAAUUUUGACAAUCCCUUACACAGAUCACGGAAAUGGCAAAGGAGAUUUUUCAUUCUUUACGAACAUGGCUUACUCCGCUACGCUCUGGAUGAAAUGCCCAGUACUCUUCCUCAGGGUACAAUCAAUAUGAACCAGUGCUCCGAUGUCAUCGAUGGCGAGUGCAGGACCAGUCAGAAGAACUCCUUGUGCAUCCUAACCCCUGAAAAGGAGCACUUCAUUCGGGCUGAGUGUAAAGAAAUUAUUAACGGAUGGCAUGAGGCUCUGAGUGUGUACCCCAGAACAAACAAGCAGAAUCAGAAGAAGAAGCGAAAGGUUGAUAGACCCACUCACCAGUCUCGUUGUGACCUUGCCUCCCAUUUUGUCCUCUCCUCCUCCCUCCCACUCCUUCCAUCCCAAACCCCAAUCCAGGAACCGGGCCCCGCCAAGGUGACGGUGACCAGCAGCAGCAGCAGUGGCGGCAGCAUCCCGUGUCUGCCCAGCAGCAUCGCCAGCGCCGAGCGUGUCCCAAUGAGCCGCGCCACUUUGUGGCAGGAGGAGAACCGCUGGAGUCGGGCCACCAUCCCCUGUAGCCGCAGCGCCUCCUGUCUCAGCCAACUGGGCCAGAGCCAACCAGACUCCACUAUCCCUACUCAAGAUGACGGUGGCACUAUGAGCACUGGGCGCAAAGUACGCGUGGAGAGUGGUUACUUUUCCCUGGAGAAGACUAAGUCUGAGCCCUCUCCAAAACCUGCACAGCAUUCCCAAGCACUGCAGCCACCCCAGCAUCUACCCCUGUCCUCUUCAACAUCCUCCUGUUCUUUAGGAGCUCCCAGUCCCAGGUACAAUUCUGACCCCGAACCCCCAAUUUCCUCCUAUGCUCCCUCCUCAGGAACCCUUGCGUCCCCCAGCUACUCCACCAUCAGUUCCUCCCAGAGCUCACUGGACUCUGAACCCAGCGGUGCUACACCCACCUGGGAGGGUCACAGUGGAGGUGGAGGGAACAACACUAGUGUGAAUAUUACAGGAAGUAGAGUGGGUCAUUCAGGCAGGCAGUAUGCAGCACUUUCAGACGUGCCACGAGCUCGCAGGAUGACUUACCACGAAGCCUUUCAUUCUGAGAAAAAGCGACAAGAGCUCAGAGCGCGUGCACGGAGUCCUGGGCGUGAAGAGGUGGCGCGGCUGUUUGGAGAGGAGCGCAGGCGUUCGCAAGUAAUCGGAAGAUUUGAGGAGAGUCCAAAUGUGGAGCGCAUGGACACUAGCAGCUCUAGUGAGCUGUCAUCAAACGUCAAUAAUGUCCAGCGACAAGGCCGCAGUGAGAGACGCUAUCUGGCAGACAAACAUGACAUGACGUCAUUGGAUACAGGAAAAGACCGCUCAGUCCCGGAUGUGUCCACCUCCACUUUUGCAAACUUAAGACGAGCCAAAUCACUUGACCGCAGAGCCACAGAGUCCUCAAUGACUCCUGAUCUGCUGAACUUCAAAAAAGGAUGGAUGACCAAGCUGUACGAAGACGGAAUGUGGAAGAAACACUGGUUUGUUCUCACAGAUCAGAGUCUGCGGUACUACAAGGACUCAAUAGCUGAGGAGGCUUCAGAACUGGACGGUGAUAUCGAUCUUUCCACUUGUUAUGAUGUGAAAGAGUUCCCAGUCCAAAGGAAUUAUGGCUUCCAAAUCCUGUGUAAAGAAGGCGCGUGCACCCUUUCAGCCAUGACCUCCGGAAUCCGCCGCAACUGGAUCCAGGCCAUCAUGAAGAACGCUCGACCCACCAUCGCCCCUGAUGUCACUCGGAAAAACAUCUCACUGAAACUAUCCGUUCUGAAGCCCAGAUCUGUUCCUGAGGAGAAGAUAAAAACACAGGUGCUGCUAGAGCCAUGUCACCAGGUCAAGCCUGAGCCAAGCCCCUGUUCCGAGCCCCCCAAGACUGAUGGCCACAGGCCCACCGGCAACGGGGGCGCCACCCCUCCCUCUGAGCCUCGGAAAAGCAGGGUUCGUGAACGCCGACGGGAGGGCCGCUCAAAGACUUGUGACUGGUCCGAGUUCAAAAUGGAAAAGGCAGACAAGCCGACGAAGGAACGAGCCGACACUGUUGACCUCAGCUCGUCGCUUUCCACGACCACGCCCUGCUGCUCUAUUUCCUCCUCUCUUUCCUCGUCGUCAUCCUCUCCUGUCUCUACCUCUGCCCUGCAAACCCCCUGCGUAUCAGAAGCCCACCCGCCCUUGACAAUAGAAGAUAACAUCAUGGGGGGCACCCCGAGCCACUUGACAAAUACCGCUCUCGUCACCUCCACAUUGAAGACGAUAUCUCCCGUGCAGCCAUCCUUACCUGAAUGUCAAGACCAAGGAAGGAUGGAGGUAGACCACCCUACAGCCUCGCACAAUGUCGAGGAGGAUAAGUUCAACAUAACUUCAGGCGUGAAGGAGGAGAUCGAGCAGCGGUGGCAUCAGGUGGAAAUGACGCCACUAAGGGAAGAAAAACAAGUGCCCAUCAGUACGGCUCCAGAUAACUCCAGCGCUGACAGACUCCCUCCACAUGAGCUCGCUGCACUGCUAGACAAAGAGUUGGGACAGAAGCAAAAAGAGCUGGACCAACUUCAGAGACAGAACAGUAUGUUAAAGGAGCAGCUGGAUGAUGCACUCGGAAGAGAACAAAGUGCCAGAGAUGGCUAUGUCCUGCAGAGUGCAACACCCCCUUCCUCCUCACCACACAGAGUCCCAUGGCAACACUUGCACAAGCUGAACCAAGACUUGCAGGGCGAAUUAGAGUCCCAAAAGCGCAAGCAAGACCUCGCUCAGCAGCAGAUUCAAAAACUAAAAAGAAGCUACACUGAAGCGCAGACUGCUGUAGACUGCCAUGAGGCUGAUAUCCAGGCCCUGCAGUGUAAGCUGGCAUCUGCAUUGGCUGAAAUCUUAGCAAGUGAACAAGCUGUGACCCGUAUGCGCAACGAGCUCAAGCUGGAGCAAGACCGUUCAAAGGAGCAAGAGGAGGAAUACGGACGCAGUGAGGCCACCUUACGAGCCCAGCUAAAGGACAGUGAAACUAGACUCCGUGAGGUCGAGGCCAGCCUUUUAGAGAGGAACCAGGCCCUUAGGAAUCUUGAGCACCAGCAGGCCCUUCAGCGAGACCAUACGAGAGAGAUCCAGAGGCUACAGGAAAGACUGCAAGAGGUGACUGCGCGACUGGUCGCUACAGAAGAAGGUCAGGCGCUGAAGGAGGAACGCCUGAGAAAGGAGCAGCAUAGUAUUCAGGAGAGUCAUGAAAGAGAGAGACAAAAUCUGUGUAGAAGAAUAACCGAAGCGGAGACUGCACAGAAGGAAAUGGAGGACAGACUACUAGAGGCCGAAGAGCAGGUGGAGGCCCUGUUAAGAGGGCGGCAGGCCUCAGCAGGAAUAGAGCACAGUGAAGAAUUGCAGAACUUGCAAGAGGAACUUGCCCAAAAGAUCAACAUGUUGGAGUCACUGAGGGAGAGUGUGCGUAUGCUAGAAGAAGAAAGAGGUCUGCUCACUUGCCGUUGCCAGGAGCUCCAAAACCAGAUUGCAGAGGCAGACCGAGAGGUAACCAAGCUUCGCAAUCGCCUUGAAACAGAGGAGGCAGAUUAUUGCUCUCUGGAAAACUCUUAUGAGAGGGCCACCCAAGAGUUUCAGAGAUUGAGCCAAUUCCUCAGAGAGAAAGAGGAAGAGAUUCGUCAGACAAAAGAAAUGUACGAAAGGCUGAUGGAACGCAAGGAGGAAGACUUGAAAGAGGCUCUUGUUAAAAUGACUAUACUUGGCAACAGCUUGGAGGAAACUGAACAGAAGUUGCAAGGUAAGGAGGACCUUCUUUGUCGAAUGAGUCAAAGUCUGUUAUAUCAAGUUGAGCCCGGCAGUGCGGAACAAAAUCUAAAAGCCAAGCUUGUGGUCGCAGAGAACCGCAUUGUAGAGCUUGAGCAGCACCUUAAUGCACUGCAGCUGGGAUAUGCUGAUCUGCACUUAAGGAGGAAACAAGUCCAAGAACAGAGCAAACGGGAACAUGUUAAAACCUCAGCUGCUUUUACUUCAAAUGUGGAGUCCCCAAUGUCAUUCACCAAUCCAUCUAAAAUUGAAGACUCCACAGAUUCUCAAGCUAAGAGACCAAGAAUCUGUUUUGCCAAUAUUCAGUGCCAAAAAUAUAACAACCUGGAUUACCUGGGUUAUUGCCAUACCUUUGAUGACUCAAGACAAGAUGUUAACCAGAAAGACCUUGAUCUAGCUGAAGCACUUUCCUCCCCUGAUACUGCGUUCCCACACGCUAGUGACUCUGAGAAAUUUAUCUCCAUUGUACAUGCCCUAGAAACUAAACUGCUCGCUACUGAGGAAAAACUAAAAAAUCUCACUCGAAAUUUACAGGAACAGCGUACCACACAUGCUGAAGACGUGUCCAAGAAAGAUCUGGUGAUGGUUGAAAACAAGCCUUUAGGAUGUGACAGUGGGCCCCAGAUAACUGAUGUAAAUAAUCCUUAUGCCAAGGCCCUCCUUUGUGUGGAAUCAAGUCGAGACAGAGUCAAGGCUAUUCUGUCUGGCUCUCUUGAUAACACUGAUUCACAGCUUCAGUCGUUGUCAGAGGUGGAAAAUGAGCUAUUCAGUGCAUCAGUGUAUAUCCGCCAUGGACAUAAGACCUCUGAGGAACAAUCACCGUAUCGUGCUCAAACUCAAAUGUCAGAACCUUUAGAUAAAGAAGCAAUUCAUCUCUUUGCCAAAACACUUUCUUUUGAAGCACUUGUUUUGAAUAAAAUGGCUAUGCUGGUACAGACAUCAGAGUCUGACCUCCUCCAAAUGCUUUCUGCGAUUUGGGAAGAUAUAGAGAACAUGACUCGUGACAAAGAUUGUUUAGCAAUAGUUUAUGCAGAUGUCUUGACCAGAAAGUUAAUGUUAGAGAAUGCAUUCUGGAAAAACCUGGAAAGAGAGGCGACACCCUGUGACGAUUCAAACAUUGCUGGAUCGCUAGAAGCCAGUGUUACAGCUCAUGCGGACAUGAAUACAUCAGCUAUAUUCAAUACUUUAAUCAAAGCGGAACUGUCCUACUCUAUUCAGAACCUCAAGCUUGGCUACGAAGAGAAAUUCAGGCUUCUUGAAGGGGAGCUGGCUGAAGCACGCCACAAACUCCAUCAAAGGGAAACGGCUUUGAAAGCAAUUAUUGAAGCGUCCAAGAGGUCUGAUUUGAAAAGUGUGAUAAAAGAAGUUAAAACCAACUUUGGGUUGAGUAAACAAAAGUUAGCCGAUAUAUGCCCACCUGAACUUGCUCCGUACACGGAGCAGAUAGAAUUGCAAGAAGCCCGGGAUCUCGCCGAAAAAAUCAUCGAACGGCAUUUGGUUGAGAAAAUGCCAUGUUGUGGUGUUGACUCUGUUGAGUCUCUUCCAACUGCACGUGACAGCCUGGCUACUGAGCUUCAACAACAGGCAGCAAAGCUCCACAAGUAUGCUCAAGAAAUACAAAGCACUGGGAACCAUUCUGAACUGGCUAAAAUGGUCAGUGCACUUUUAGUGCCACAGACAUCACAUGUAUACACAAGUACAUCUCUUUGUAUGCGGGAAGCCCUCAUCCAGGCUCAGGUGGCUUAUGUGGCAUGUAGAUUACGAUCCACGCAUGAGCAAAACUUGGGUUGGUGUAAGCAGACGCACCAGAGUAUGGACGCUCUCGUGCAGCAGCAUGCCUGCAGCGUCAGGGCGAUUCAAGAGAAGUAUGAAGCAUCCUUUCAGGAGGAGCGCCAGAACUUCACGCAAACACUGGCCAAUCUCCAGAAGGAGAACAAAACUCUCAAGACUGAAAUAGGCCAACGUUCUAACCAACUCUCACAGCAACAAGAGCAACUGGCCAUCCUGGAGGAACAUUUCCGGAUGCAAAUUGAAGAGCUGAAGCAGAAGCACCAGCAUGAGUUAUGCCUCGCUGAGAAAGACCGUGCUUCAACGGAACUGGCCUUCUUGGAGACUGCAACGGACAGCCAGCAGAAGCUGGAGGAUCUGCACCUGGAUGUGGACACCAUGAAGGAGCAGCACAAGAGUCAUGUGAAAAAACUAGAGGAAGACUUUGAGCAGAGAAUCUCUCAGCUUCAAUGUAUCUACGAAGACGAGAUUGUCAAAUUGCAUUCCCGACAUAAGGAAGACAUCCGGAAUAUCCAAGAGCCACAAGUGAAUGAGAAAGACUGCGAGGUGAUCUCGGCACCAAUGGAAGAGGAGGAACAAGGCAGGGAGGGGGAUGUGCACACCAUGUCUGAAGGGGACACAAUGGUGCUUCUAAAAGACAGGAUUCAGGAGCUGGAGACUCAGAUGAACAGCAUGAGGGACGAACUGGAGAACAAGCACCUAGGAGGAGAUGUGGCCAGCCUGAGGGAGAAAUACCAGAGAGACUUUGAAAGUCUUAAGGCCACAUGCGAGCGUGGCUUUGCAGCAAUGGAGGAAACCCAUCACAAGGUGGUUGAGGACCUCCAAAGGCACCACCAGAGGGAGAUUUGCAAACUUAUGGAGGAGCGAGAGAGGCUCCUUGCUGAGGAGACUGCUGCUACUAUUGCUGCUAUUGAAGCUAUGAAGAAUGCCCACAAAGAGGAACUGGAGAAGAACCAGCGCUCCCAGCUCAGCGGCCUGAAUUCUGAUAUUGAUGAACUUCGAUUACAAUACGAGGAGGAGCUGCAGUCCAUCCAAAGGGAGCUGGAGGUUUUGUCCGAGCAGUAUUCUCAGAAAUGUCUGGAGAACGCCCACCUGGCUCAGGCCCUGGAGGCCGAGAGGCAGGCCCUCAGGCAGUGUCAGCGAGAGAACCAGGAGCUCAACACUCACAACCAGGAAUUAAAUAACCGUCUGAGUGCGGAGAUCACACGGAUGCGCUCAUGUUUCAGUGGGGAGACGGCGCUGUCGCCUGUAACGCAAGGCAAAGAUGUGUAUGAACUGGAGGUGUUGCUUCGAAUCAAGGAGUCAGAGAUUCAGUAUCUUAAACAGGAAAUCCACUCUUUGAAGGAUGAGCUACAGUCAGCCCUGCGGGACAAGAAAUACGCCACAGACAAAUAUAAAGACAUCUACACGGAGCUGAGCAUUGUGAAAGCGAAGGCCGACUGCGAUAUCGGCAAACUGAAGGAGAAGCUGCUUAUUGCCACCGAAGCGUUAGGCGAGAGGACCGUCGAUGGAACGGUCACGUCUGGAUACGACAUCAUGAAAUCCAAAAGUAACCCCGACUUCACGAAAAAAGAACAAUCACCAACCUCCAAGCCAUCCAGAGGUGUCAGGUCAAAGUCUGUCACUGAACAGGUCUCACGGGACAGCUGACACUUCCCGUGUGGGUCUUAGACCCUCCCCCAAAACCCGCCCCGAGAUACGCCGUAGAGCCUGAAAGAGGGACUGACCGUGCAAGAGCGGAUGAAGCUGUUUGAGGGAAAAGAUUCCAAAAAGAUCUGAAUGUCAAGACCCCCGAAACUAAGCUUCUCUUUACCGGCCUUUGUGUUUCAUUGUAUUUUAGUUUUUUGCUGUGACUACGCACUCAUCAUAGGAAGGGUCCGUUUUGAACACAAGACCGUCUGCUUCCACGCAUUGCAAGGUUUUGCAUGUUCAAUUAAGGGAAACGGUUUUACUGGACUGAACAUAGAAAUUUCAUUUAAAAAAAAAAAAAAAAAAAAAAAUGGAAAAAACAAAUGUAUUUAAUGUUCUUGCUGAAAUUGGAGAUGUGUGUAAUAAGCUGUGAGAGGGAUACAUGACAGCGUUUUUAAUUUUCCCAUAUGCCAAAAUAGACAUUUAUACAGUCUGAAUAAUAUAUAUACCUGUAUAGUAUAUGUAUUUCCUGAUAUGAAGUAUUUGUCUGCUGUAUUUUAUUAUUAUUGUUACAAUUUCUAUUUCGGAAUGAUUUUACUGUGUUUUGUGUACAUAACUACUGGACGUACAGUGUGUAAGAGCAUGGUUUGUUGAUGUGUUGGGCAUCUGCUGUACUAUAAACUAGUUUGACUGAUGGUGGGUGGAAUCUAUGUGAUGAUGCUUACAUAAGAUUUUUUUUUUUUUUUUUUUUUACUUUUUAUAUAAAAGUACAUUGUGUGUUGGGGGAGUGAAAGGUUGGGAUUGCACUUAUAACUUGACUACUUGAGGAACCUUUUUUUUCUUUCUCUCUCUCUCUCUCUCUCGUCCAAUCGAUGUGAUUUUCGAUUAUUGCAGUGCAACCGAACACGGUGAUUGGCUGAUAACUUCAAUCUGGCAUUUGUCUUAAUUUCAAUUUAGUGAGACAAAUUCCUGUUAGGACUUUACAUGAUUCUGUUGUCUUUUUCCAAUUGUGCAUGUGGCCUGUUUUUCCUGUUUUGACGCUUGAGUGUGGAGUUCUCCUACAUAACCUUCAUAAGCUUUGCCUUGCGAGUCCUACUGUUUCACCGUUACUGUGAGCGGCAAUUCCCCGACCCCUGACCUCUCGCUUCCAAUUCUAGUUGUGCCUCAACCCAGUGAAGAACACAAACCACUUGCAAUAAAAUCAAAUUUAAAAAAUAACUGCAGCUAUGGAAACACACUGUAUAGUAUUCAAAACGCUUUGGAAAUGUACAUAUAUAGUAUAUAUGUGCCACAUGGAACACUUGUGCUCUUGUUUUAAACUUUGCUCAUUAGCUCUUUAUGAAAUAUAUAUUAUUUUUUAUUUGAAUGUAUAAAAUUAAAUACAUGUUUGGAAAAUAUGUAAAUAUUUGUCUCCUGUAAUAUGUCCGCUGCUUUCUUCCCAACAGGGCUUUAAAGUCAAAGCAAUGGGGAGAAAAUAUUUAUUUAUCAGAACCGCAUACCCGAGGUAGUAAAUAGUCAUAAAGCAUUCAUCAUAAUUGAAGUGUUGGAAAUUGACAUCUGGUCAUGGCCAAAGAUGUUAAAUUGCUUUUUAAAAUUACUGUAACAUUUAAGCUGUUGUCCACAAGAGGGCGUUAUUAGCUCGCUUUCAUAAUUGGGCCUCCCGAGAAGGCCUCUUCCAUACAUACUUACACCCUUAGUUUAUCACUUUAACUUCUGCAUAAACAGAUAUUAAAGUGUUUAUGCAGAAGUGUGAACUUAUGCAUACGGGCCUAAGUGCAUAAGUUCACACUUAUGCACGCAUGCGCUUACAUAUGUACAAAUUUAGUCAAUUUCUUAUUUUUCACAAAUCGAUGCUUUUGGUCAGUCCUCAGGUGGGUCUGUGAUUUUUACAAAUUAUUGACCAAUAUAAAGUGUUGAAAAUGACUUCCUGUCUUUGACGAUGCAAUGUUAAUGGCUCAACUCAAAUGGCUUUUUUUUCUUUUCUUUUUUUUCUCUCCAUUUCCUGAAAAGUGAUGCUUUUGGUUUCUGCCCAACAUUGGCAAUAUGUGCUUAUACAGUCUCCUUGCAUUCACUUACACUUACAAACAUGUUUUUUUCCCCCCAAAUAAAUUUGGUUAAAAAAUAUGUACUCCAUUUUGGAAUAAGGCAAAAUGUGGAGAAUAGUGAAGCGCUUGUGAAUAAGUCCAGACAAUUGGACAACAUCAGGCCAGGCUUUUGCCGUUAUGGCAGCUGACCUUUCGCUUGGUGUUGAAGAGGCCGCAGCAAAUAGAGCCACCCGUUGUUGGGCGCCCUCUGUACUCCCCUUGUCUCCUGUCAUUGUAGAACUUGGUACGAUGACCUUUGCAGGAGGAGAUUGAGGUGACCCUCCUGAUGGUGAUUUUGCUUGAGGAGCUGCUUGACUUUUAAGAACCUGUCCGGCCUAAUAGUAGCGAGUGCUGAUAAACUUUAAAUUGGACACUUUGUUAGCUCAGCAUUUCCUAACCUUUAUUGAGCCAAGGCACAUUAUUUCACAUAAAAAAAAUAAAAAUUCCCGGGUGGCACACUACCCCCCCCAAAAAAAAAAAAGCCACAAAAUGUGUAUAAA